UCCCGGGGCUGUCCCCUCUAGGGCUGUCCCUUUCAGGGUCCCAGCCGUGUCCUUGCCAUCAGCCGGGGCUGUCCCCUUGCCGGGGCUGUCCCUGCCACCAGCCGGAGCUGUCCCCCUCCCAGGGCUGUUCCUUUCAGGGUCCCAGCCGUGUCCCUGCCAUCAGCCGGGGCCGCUCCCGACGCUCCCAAGUUUCCGUCCAGGAGCGCUCGAGCUCCGCUGAGGGCAGAAGCGGUUUCUGUGCACAGCCGUGAGCGUCUGAGGGACUGGCUCUGUGGAAAGCAUCUCCUGGCGCCGCAGAAAGUGGGACAGUCCUCCUCUGCCCGUUAGGUUGUUACUGUGAAUGGAUUGCGAAGACAAAAGCUGUGGAUGCAUUGAUGAUGCCACUGUGUUAAUCAUGGUGUUAAAGCAGAAGAAUGCAUCUUGCCUGUGUCAGCACAAGUGAUUGGCUUUGGAAGACUAUCCAGGACCUUGUAUGAGCACAGCUGCAGGUGAUACACCUAUUUCUGCAGGUAUCUACAGUUCCAAACCAGUCUUGGGACUUCAGGUAACUCUCAGUUUAUGCAAGGAUCCCAUUGCUGUGCUGUCUGACUCCAGAGUGCCCAUGUGAGGGCUGACAACCCCAAAAGUGCAGUGCCCACAUUCCCAGAGCCAAUUCCCUCUGCCUCACAUAGGCAGGCAGUGUCAAACCAGCCCUGAAAAUGACGGUCAAGGUUUGAUAAAAGGUAUAACUCAUCAGUAUGUGCAGAAGCCUCUGCAAAACCCAGAUGGGAAAAUGACCUUCAUUCCUGCAGUUAAAGAGAAAAUGAGGCUUGGGCCAGUUUAAUUCCCAAGGUUGCACAUUGAUUUCAUUGGAGGUGCCCUGGGGCCACCACCUGCUGAUGUGUUUGCUUGUCCAGAAGAACAUAUCUCUGAAAGAAAACUGGUUUUACUGAAUUAAUAUAAAGUGGGAUCAAACUGCAGCAGUUCAAGUUAAAUUUCUACAUGGAUAUGGACUCCACAGUUUGGGACCUGUGUCUAUGGCUGAGCAGCAAAGGCUUCCCAGGCCCCUCACCCAGGGCAGAGCCUGUUUUUGUCACAGCAGCUCCAGCACUGCUGCUGCUGCUCGUGCCCAAAGUGGCCAGAGAAGAGUCAAUGUGUGUGAUCUGUAACAGGGCACCCACUGCCCACCCUGCCCUGCUUCAGUCCCACCCAGCAGCGAGGGUUCACUGCUGACCCCCCACCCACAGGGAGAGAAAGCACCAGACAGGGAUAGCCUUGCCAGUCCCCACUAAAGCCCUGGUUGCUGUAGAUGGGCUCAGCACUGGGCAUCCCUCACCCCACUGCCCUCCUGCUGGCCUUUUCCCACUUGGGAACUCGUUACCUCUGAAGUGCUGCUGCAGCAUCUGCAGCCCUGGCACUGGCAGGACUCGUGCCCACACCCAAAUCCAGGCUGCUGCAGCACCUCAGGGCCUCAGACCAUCACAGUGGUAAGGCUGGGGACUGGAGAGGUUUGCAGCCUCUGCUUUGAACAUGUGUGGUAUGUGUGGAGCCAGAACAUUUAGGGAGACCCCAGCUGCUAGAAGGAAAUGUCCUCACCCUGGCACAACUGGACAGGCACAACCACCCAUGUUCCUCUACACCUGCUCCCUCCUAGGCACUCCCAUCCCCACAUCCCUCUUUCCAUUGCUCAAGUCCUGUUACCCUCUCAUACAGCACAUGCCUUACUAUUUCCAUCUGACAGCAAGGAUUUCAGCAGCAUUUCUUGAUCUGUUUCAUAUUUUAAAGCAAGCAGCUAUCCCUCCUGCCCUUUAUCUCCUAACUCUACCCUAAUAAAUAUGAUUGCUUCAUCCUGUGAGACCUGAAAACCCAUUUCUGAAAUUCCCCUGGCAACUAAUACAGUAAAACAAGCAUAUAAAUAAUUAUGAUAGAAAGGCAUAAAAUGCCAGACUUGGGUCAAAUAUACUCAUGGAGUGACAUUAGCAACAAAUAACUACGCAGGGUUUGAAUGCAGAUGGAAAAGGCUGAAUAAAGAGUAGCUACUUCAUUGCCCAUAACUGCCAGGCUCCUAAUUUGGGCAGGCCAUAUUUUACUGAUAGCAGAGCAAACACAGUCAUAAUGUACCCCUACCUUUCCUGCUUUGUGAAAAAUCCCAUCCAUCCCCAGGGAAGGAAGGAUGUAAAAAAUAGCGGUGUGAACGUGAGG